UACGUAGGGUGCAAGCGUUGUUCGGAAUUAUUGGGCGUAAAGAGCUCGUAGGCGGUCUGUUGCGUCGGCUGUGAAAACCCGGGGCUCAACCCCGGGCCUGCAGCCGAUACGGGCAGACUAGAGUUCGGCAGGGGAGACUGGAAUUCCUGGUGUAGCGGUGAAAUGCGCAGAUAUCAGAGGAACACCGGUGGCGAAGGCGGGUCUCUGGGCCGAUACUGACGCUGAGGAGCGAAAGCGUGGGGAGCAAACAGG
rnacentral:rRNA from 1 species